rnacentral:rRNA from 1 species
GGGUUGUGAGGUUAAGCGACUAAGCGUACACGGUGGAUGCCCUGGCAGUCAGAGGCGAUGAAGGACGUGCUAAUCUGCGAUAAGCGUCGGUGAGGUGAUAUGAACCGUUAUAACCGGCGAUUUCCGAAUGGGGAAACCCAGUGUGUUUCGACACACUAUCAUUAACUGAAUCCAUAGGUUAAUGAGGCGAACCGGGGGAACUGAAACAUCUAAGUACCCCGAGGAAAAGAAAUCAACCGAGAUUCCCCCAGUAGCGGCGAGCGAACGGGGAGGAGCCCAGAGCCUGAAUCAGUGUGUGUGUUAGUGGAAGCGUCUGGAAAGGCGCGCGAUACAGGGUGACAGCCCCGUACACAAAAAUGCACAUGCUGUGAGCUCGAUGAGUAGGGCGGGACACGUGGUAUCCUGUCUGAAUAUGGGGGGACCAUCCUCCAAGGCUAAAUACUCCUGACUGACCGAUAGUGAACCAGUACCGUGAGGGAAAGGCGAAAAGAACCCCGGCGAGGGGAGUGAAAAAGAACCUGAAACCGUGUACGUACAAGCAGUGGGAGCCUCUUAAUGGGGUGACUGCGUACCUUUUGUAUAAUGGGUCAGCGACUUAUAUUCUGUAGCAAGGUUAACCGAAUAGGGGAGCCGAAGGGAAACCGAGUCUUAACUGGGCGUUAAGUUGCAGGGUAUAGACCCGAAACCCGGUGAUCUAGCCAUGGGCAGGUUGAAGGUUGGGUAACACUAACUGGAGGACCGAACCGACUAAUGUUGAAAAAUUAGCGGAUGACUUGUGGCUGGGGGUGAAAGGCCAAUCAAACCGGGAGAUAGCUGGUUCUCCCCGAAAGCUAUUUAGGUAGCGCCUCGUGAAUUCAUCUCCGGGGGUAGAGCACUGUUUCGGCAAGGGGGUCAUCCCGACUUACCAACCCGAUGCAAACUGCGAAUACCGGAGAAUGUUAUCACGGGAGACACACGGCGGGUGCUAACGUCCGUCGUGAAGAGGGAAACAACCCAGACCGCCAGCUAAGGUCCCAAAGUCAUGGUUAAGUGGGAAACGAUGUGGGAAGGCCCAGACAGCCAGGAUGUUGGCUUAGAAGCAGCCAUCAUUUAAAGAAAGCGUAAUAGCUCACUGGUCGAGUCGGCCUGCGCGGAAGAUGUAACGGGGCUAAACCAUG